UACGUAGGUGGCGAGCGUUGUCCGGAAUUAUUGGGCGUAAAGCGAGCGCAGGCGGUUGCUUAGGUCUGAUGUGAAAGCCUUCGGCUUAACCGAAGAAGUGCAUCGGAAACCGGGCGACUUGAGUGCAGAAGAGGAGAGUGGAACUCCAUGUGUAGCGGUGAAAUGCGUAGAUAUAUGGAAGAACACCAGUGGCGAAAGCGGCUCUCUGGUCUGUAACUGACGCUGAGGCUCGAAAGCAUGGGUAGCGAACAGG
rnacentral:rRNA from 1 species